rnacentral:rRNA from 1 species
AUGGUUUGACGAUAAAAAAACUGUCUUUCUUUACUGGCUUUUAAAUUAUCUUAAGAGUGAAGAGACUCUUUUGUUAUAGCGGGACGAGAAGACCCCGUUGAGCUUUAACGAGUAUUAUUAGUUUUAUAAUUACUGGUUUUAGUUGGGGCAACUAUUUCUCUUUAUUAAACAGAAAUAAAACUAUCUCGAAUUGAAUCAAUUAUGACCCCUAAUUAUUAGGAGAAAUAAAAUAAGUUACCACGGGGAUAACAGCGUAAUUUUUUUUGAGAGUUCUUAUUGACAAAAAAGUUUGCGACCUCGAUGUUGGAUCAUAGUCUCCUAGGGGUGCAGCAGCUCCUAAGGGUUGGUUUGUUCAACCAUUAAAACUAUACGUGAUCUGAGUUCAGACC